AUGAGUUUUUUUCAUAUUUGUCUUUUUAUAGUUUACUUUGAUUAUUUUUUAAAUCUUUAUAUUAUCUAUAUAUCCUCUAUUAAUCCCCGUGUUAGACAUCCACGUGUCAUCCCAUUCUUAAUUUUGUACACGUGGCCCGUCAUGGGUCCCACCUGCUACCAAGCCGGUUCGAUCCCGCUACCCCGCCUCUUCGAUCCCUGCUACUCCCGCCUCUUCAAUGGCGCCUCCGUUUCGAUCCCGGUUGCUCCUCUAUCUCUCCUCUCCUCUCCUCUCCUCUCCUCUCCGACCCUUUCCUUCGUUCCCCUUCGUCCCCUCGACCUCUCCCCUCCCCCGAAACCCUAGCUCUCUCGAUCGUGGCGGGUGGGGUGCAGCCAUGAAGCUUGCGGGGCUCAGAUCGGUGGAGAACGCCCACGACGAGUCGAUCUGGGCGGCGACGUGGGUCCCUGCCACCGACUCCCACCCCGCGCUUCUCCUCACGGGCCCACUUGACGAGAUCGUGAGGCUCUGGCGCCCGACGAGCUCGCUGCGGCGGUGCCACCCUCGCACGGCCGCGUCCUCGGCGUCGUCGCCGCCGCCGCCCACCCCUCCAGCUCCCUCGCCGCCGCCGCCUCCCUCGACAGCUCCGUCCGCGUCGAGGGAGGCGACGGAGCUUCGACGUCGACUCCAACGCCUCCGUCGCCUCCCUCGACGCCCUCCCUCCCUCCCCCCCGAGGUCUGGGGCUUGCAGUUCGACCCCAAGGUAACGCCACCUUUAGAUAUCUGUUUCUUUGGAUUGCAAAAAAGCACAAAUCCAAUAUUUAAUUAGUUUUUAUUAUUCUUUCGAUCUGGCAUGGCGGUGGCGGCGGCGAUGCCGGCGCCGGCACCGCCCGCGGAUUCUUUAGAUUACUGGCGGAAGUUCUUCCGCAGCGCGGCGAACGCCGGCAUCUUCCGGGUGAUCGAGAAGGCGAUCGCGGUCGCCGCCGCAGACUCUCCCGACGAGCUCCGCGCCUGGCGCGCCCGGAUCGCCGAGGCGCUCUACGUCUGCCUCGCGUGCACGUGUUCUACCCGCCGCCUACAUAAUCAUCAUAAUCAAGAAGAAGCCGAUCAAAAGGAAGAGGAGGAGGAGGAUGAUCGCCGUGUGGGGAGCAAUUUGAGCUACGAUGAGGCGGAGGCGCUCACGGAGAGAUCGAGGAGGAGAGCCACACGCUCGGAGAGGUUUUGAGAAUCAAGGUCGUUCUCAGCACCGGCCGGGAGCAGGUCUGGGGCN
rnacentral:lncRNA from 1 species